CAAGAAGCCACCAGAGAUGUCUCCAGAAGCCACCAGAGAUGUCCCCAAGGCCACCAGGGGGAUGUCCCUCCCAGGAGAAGCCGGGCCACCCAAGAUGGCUGCCUGGAAGCCACCAGAGAUGUUCCCCCCCCCCAAAGGUUCCUGGGCCACCAAGGACGUCCCCGUGGCCCUUGAGGAUGUCCCCACGUGUCCUGAGGCCACCCAAGGUGGCCUCCUGGUGACCUGGGCCAGCACGAGAUGUCCCCAGGUCACCAAGGUUGUCCCCACGGCCUCAAGUCCAUCAACGAUGAUGUUCCUCCCCCAACAACAAGAAGGUCCCAGCUCCAUCGGGGAUGUCCCCCAGGUCCAUCUCCGCUGUCCCCAAGAGGGUGACAAGGCCAGUGAGGGACACGCCAAGGUGCCAGCUCCAUCCACGACGUCCUUAAGAAGGUCCCAGGUCCAUCCAAGGACGUCCCAGGGCCAUCGAGAACAUCCCAAGCUCCAUCCAGAAGGUCCCAGGUCCAUCGAGAACAUCCCAAGCUCCAUCCAGAAGGUCCCAGGUCCAUUGAGAACAUCCCAAAGCUCCAUCCACGAUGGCCCCAGAAGAUCCCAGGUCCAUCCAGAAGAUCUCGGGUCCAUCCAGAAGAUCCCCAGAAGGUCCCAGGUCCAUUGAGAACAUCCCAAAGCUCCAUCCAGGACAUCCCCAGAAGGUCCCAGGUCCAUCCAGAAGGUCCCAGGUCCAUCCAGAAGGUCGCUCCUCAGGCCCCACGUCAAUCUGUACUGGGAGCCCCGAUCCGUACUGGUCCAUACUGGGAGCCCUGAUCUAUACUGGUCCGUACUGGUCCAUACUGGGAGCCCUAAUCUGCACUGGUCCGUACUGGGAGCACUGGUCCAUACUGGGAGCCCUGAUCCGUACUGGUCCGUACUGGGAGCACUGGUCUGUACUGGGAGCUCUAAUCUGUACUGGGAGCCCUGAUCCAUACUGGUCUGUACUGGGAGCUCUGAUCUAUACUGGUCUGUACUGGGAGCCCCGACCCGUACUGGUUUGUACUGGUCCAUACUGGUGGGAGACGCGGGAUCUUUCUGGAAAGUUUUUAAUCUAGAACCUGGAAAAAGAAGGUCCCAGGUCCAUCGAGAACAUCCCAAGCUCCAUCCAGAAGGUCCCAGGUCCAUUGAGAACAUCCCAAAGCUCCAUCCACGAUGGCCCCAGAAGAUCCCAGGUCCAUCCAGAAGAUCUCGGGUCCAUCCAGGACAUCCCCAGAAGGUCCCAGGUCCAUCCAGAAGGUCCCCAGAAGGUCCCAGGUCCAUCCAGAAGAUCUCGGGUCCAUCCAGAAGAUCCCCAGAAGGUCCCAGGUCCAUUGAGAACAUCCCAAAGCUCCAUCCAGGACAUCCCCAGAAGGUCCCAGGUCCAUCCAGAAGGUCCCAGGUCCAUCCAGAAGGUCGCUCCUCAGGCCCCACGGGGCCUCAACCCCCCAUCCCUCCCCAACAUCCCCAUCGAAUCCACGCCAUCCUGAUCCGUACUGGUCCGUACUGGGAGCACUGGUCUGUACUGGGAGCUCUAAUCUGUACUGGGAGCCCUGAUCCAUACUGGUCUGUACUGGGAGCUCUGAUCUAUACUGGUCUGUACUGGGAGCCCCGACCCGUACUGGUUUGUACUGGUCCAUACUGGUGGG
rnacentral:lncRNA from 1 species